UUCCUGUGCGAACAGGCUUGGGAGGUGUGGGAGCUUCACUGCCUCUUAACUCCAGCCAGGCUCUCAGUCUCCCUGAGGACAAGAUGGAGAAAUGUAGGUAAGUCUGAAAUUUGUAGGGCAGGUGGGCAGGCUGGCAGUUCCAGCAGGAGCUGAUAUUGCAGUCUGGAGUCUGAAGGUGGCCUGGAGACAGAAUUCCUUCCACUCCGGGGGACUGUGGACUUUCCCUCUUAAGGCCUUCAACAGACUGACGAUGAGGGACAUGUAGGUGAAAAAUACUUGCCUACAAGGAGAAGAGGUUCAAGAAUGAGCUGCAGGGACAGUGGGUCUUUCUCAAGCAGCACUGGGCAUGGUGUGUGGGCAAGGGAGAGGACUGCAAGGGCCCAGUCAUGUCUCUGAGUCUGGCUGUCACCCGCCGGCAGGGGCCAGGCUCACCAGAUUCCAUGUGAAGCAGCUGGGGACUCUGGGCUGAUUGAGGUUGACUCGUGCCAGGGCAAACUCUCAUGCUUGGCUUUCAGUUGUGUGAUGGAUUCCCGGGGCUGCCGUCCCAUAACUACAUUGGCCAGCUGGUGAUCCUGGUCCAGUUAGUUGCUUCCUGAAUCUAUAUGACUUUAUCUAUAAAAGGUCAGGUUAAAGCUAUAAGAGUUUUGUGAAGCCCAUAUGAAACAGUGUGUGAAAGCACUUGGCACAGUGCCUGACACCCAGGAGGCUUACUUGAAUGUGGGGUGCUCCUGAUGCCGAUGGUGAUGGUGAUGACUGUGAUGGUGGUGGUGAUGAUGGUGAUGAUGAUGAUGGUGGUGAUGAUGAUGGUGAUGAUAAUGAUGGUGAUGAGGUGAUAAUGACAGUGAUAGUGAUGAUGAUGAUGACGAUGAUGGGCUUUUUUUGUUCCCAUUCUGAUGAUGGUGGUGAUCAAGAUGCUGAUGACGAUGAUGGUGAUGAUGUGAUAAUGACUGUGAUAGUGUUGACGAGUGAUGACAGUGAUGAUGGUGAUGGUGAUGACUGUGAUGGUGGUGGUGAUGAUGGUGAUGGUGAUGAUGGUGGUGAUAAUGAUGGUGAUGAGGUGAUAAUGACAGUGGUAGUGAUGAUGACGGUGAUGAUGGUGAUGGUGGUGAUGAUGGUGAUGAUGGUGAUGGUGGUGAUGAUGGUGAUGAUGAUGGUGAUGAUAAUGAUGGUGAUGAUGAUGAUGGUGAUGAGGUGAUGAUGAUGAUGGUGAUGAGGUGAUAAUGACAGUGGUAGUGGUGAUGAUGGUGAUAAUGACAGUGAUGGUGAUGAUAGUGAUGUUGGUGACAAUGACGAUGGUGAUGAUAAUAAUGAUGGUGAUAAUGAUAAUGGUAAUGGAGAUGAUGAUGACAGUGAUGAUGGCAAUGGUGGUGAUGAUGGUGAUGAUGAUGAUGGUGGUGAUAAGGAUGGUGAUGAGGUGAUAAUGACAGUGAUGGUGAUGAUAGUGAUGGUGGUGCUGACAAUGAUGAUGGUGAUGGUGGCAGUGAUGAUGGUGAUGA
rnacentral:lncRNA from 1 species